CGCGCGUUGCUCAGGAUGUUUUUGCCGUCCAACUUAACGACGAUGGCUUCCCCGACGCCGGCCAGCCGGAACACACAUUCGUACUUGGCCUCCGCGUCGGGCGCCGCCUCCACUUUCAGGUGGGCUGUGGUCUGGAAGGUUCCGUCAUGGUUGGGGAGGGUCUCCCCCAUCUCCACGUCCUCGUGGAUCACCUCGCUGU